rnacentral:rRNA from 1 species
UACGUAGGGCGCAAGCGUUGUCCGGAAUUAUUGGGCGUAAAGAGCUCGUAGGUGGCUUGUCGCGUCUGCCGUGAAAGCCCAUGGCUUAACUAUGGGUCUGCGGUGGAUACGGGCAGGCUAGAGGCUGGUAGGGGCAAGCGGAAUUCCUGGUGUAGCGGUGAAAUGCGCAGAUAUCAGGAGGAACACCGGUGGCGAAGGCGGCUUGCUGGACCAGUUCUGACGCUGAGGAGCGAAAGCGUGGGGAGCGAACAGG